AAAACUUUCAACAAUGGAUCUCUUGGUUCUGGCAUCGAUGAAGAACGCAGCGAAAUGCGAUAAGUAGUGUGAAUUGCAGAAUUCAGUGAAUCAUCGAAUCUUUGAACGCACAUUGCGCCCCUUGGUAUUCCAUGGGGCAUGCCUGUUCGAGCGUCAUU
rnacentral:rRNA from 5 species